GUACAAAAACUCUAAUAAUUAUUUUCCUUUAAUGUCAAGCCACAUCAAACCCACAAUCUAGAAUUCUCAGAAUAUAAGGUGGAAACACCUGUGUGUGCUUACUGAAAGGGUAAUGAAAAGGAAACAUGAUGUCCUAGAAUACUUCAGAAAUUAAAGUACAUCACAACCAUUUUAAAAGAUCUGACUAAAUAUUACAUCAUCAUUUAAUAUCUCCUCGGCAAAGUCUCUUGUAUGAAGUCUACCGGAGUCUCUUAAAGUUUUCCACUCAAAGCCAAAUUAUUCAUACAAUGCAAACUUACAUUUCCAAUAAAAGUCAUUUUACUUCUUAUUUAUUCUGAUUUUCAAUUGAUUCAAUUCGACUGAUUCUGACAUUAGUUGCACUGUUUAUGCAACUGGUACAAAUGCAUUUUUUUCAGCUCAACAAAAUACAUUCAAACUCACCACAAGGAGGCAUCAUUCCUCAAAUUCUUAUAUAAAGCUGAACCUUGUGAAGAAUCUAAAACUACAAAGAGAAACAGAGACUACAGUAAGAUUAAAAGAGUUCUGGAAAAUUGUUAAAAUAUUCUUCCUUUUUUACUUUUAAGUGAGAAUGGCAAAAUUGGUGAUUAUUACACUUUUCUUCACAGCACAUUAUUUUGAGUGCUGGGGACAAGACAAAGUCGAACAACUUUCAAGAGAAAUGACUGCAAAUGAAGCAGCUCAAAUUAUGUUACUGUGCAAUUACUCUACCAGCAGUUAUAAUUCAUAUCAUUACUGGUACAAACAACUAAUUCAUAUCAUUACUGGUACAAACAACUAGAAAUAAAUCACCAACAUUCAUUCUGAGUGAAUUUACACUUGGUAAAGGAACUACUGAGGAUGAAUUUAAAGAGAGAUUUUCUGCAACACUGAACUCCACAUCAAGAACAGUUCCACUGGUGAUCAAGAAUCUGCGUGUGUCUGACUCUGCUGUGUACUACUGCGCUCUGAGGCCCACAGUGACUGAAGCACACUCAACACUCACACAAAAACACUGAGAUCUACCACAAACCACUCCUGUCAUCAUAAUAUAUUCACAAACACCACAUAAAAUCUAUAACCAUGAUCUUAAAGGGACAGUUCACCAAAACACUAAGAUUCUGCCAUUAUUUACUCACCCUCAUGUUGUCCUACAUACAAGACUUUAUUUCUUCUGUAGGAUGAGACAAUAUAAUAACAACAGAAGAAGCAAAGUAUUAACUGCCUUCAUGUUGCAUUAAAUAAAUUACAUAGGGUUUGUUAUACCUUAUUUUGUUUUAUAUGUAUUAGUAAUAUGCACUUGUACAUAGUUAAAAAAUUAGAUAAUACUAAAAUGCCAUAUUCUUUCAAAGUAAAAGCAAAACAAUACUAUGAGCCUUCAGCGUCAAAAUGAAUAACAAACUCUUCAAUCAAGAUAUCUGUAUAGUCAGACUCCUCC
rnacentral:lncRNA from 1 species